GUUCACCCUAUUAUGAUUCAUUUCAAUUGAAUUUAAUGUUCGAAUAUUCUUUGCUGUGAUUUUAUUUUACAAUUAAAUUACUUAGAUAAAAUUAAAAUUCCCUAAAGCUACCUUCUUUUGUAUUCUUGUUUUACUCCACUGUCUUCCUUUCUUUUGUUGUUUUCAAAAGGUUGCAUUCCGUGUGGGAAGCAGUUACUUGCCAUUAGCUGACUUAGCUCUGACAACCCUGGAACGAUGGAUAGAUGCUUUCCCACCUGAAAAAAUCAACCCCUUUUUGAAAGAAAUACUGCCUGCUUGGACUCAUUUUUGAGGAGUAAAGACUUUGAGGGAGACCCAGAAGCUGCCAGUGGUCUUGAUGCAGAAUUUAAGGUCCUAACCUCUGCCUUGCGCAAAUCAAAAAGGAAAAUCAAGAAAAUUCAUGAGAGGCAGGAUACUGAAUUAUUUCGCAUUCAAAAACGCAUUAUUUUGAUGCUAAGCAAAUAGACGUAUCUACAGCCUUGACCAUUUUAAGUGAAGACAGUACACGCUCCAAGUGGAAAUCAACAAAACAAUUGAAGUUCACCAUUCCGUUUCCGGAUUGUCGUUUGAAUUUAUACCUAGAUGAAAUGUUACCAAGAAUUGUUGAAUCUGCAUUAUCAAGUAGUAAUCGCAAAACUAAAGUAGCAGCUAGUGAAUUGUUGCAUGCUGUAGUGUUGGUUCUUCUUGGAAACGAUAAGCAAAUGGCAAAUUUAGAAAGCAAUCAAACAGCCGACGUUUUAAAAGAGCUGAUGCCAGCUUUGCUACAACUAGGCAGUGAUUCUGAUGAGGUUGUUAGGACUUUAUUCCAACAUCUUGUUAGACCAAUGAUGUUUUAUUUCUCCAGUAAAUUCCAAGCCCACACCAACAGUGUCAAGGUGGUUUUGAAGCUCUGAUGGUCAGUAUUUUCAUUCUACUAUUUUUCUUCACUACCAUUUCUACUUUAAUUUCUGCCCACAUGGCUUAUAGUUGCCUCUUUAGAAACUUUAAGUGUGUGUUACUCGUUGGUUCUACGUUUUCAUGGAGAUCUCAAACCAUAUAGAUCGCAACCCAAUAGCACGGUGCAAUGAAAACAUGAAAAUUAAAUUGAGAAUUGAGAAUUGAGAUGCAAUGCAAUGAAAUUGCAAUAUUCUUACAUCAUUUGGUCAAUAAAUGCCAAUUCUAAAUAAUCAACAAAAUGAGUUCCACGUGAUAGAAAGUCCGGCAAUUUGCAAUGCAAUGAUCAAUUACAACUUAUUUCAAUUAAGAGAUGCUCCUUCGAUCGGUGAACAGGUAAUAUACACGAAUUUCCGAUGCAGUAGCUAUAAUUUUACCAUGUAAAUAAUUGCAACUUAUUUUUGGCACUUGGGAAGAGAUUGUUUUGGAAAACUCAAAAAUUUCUAUCACAAGGCCAACAUCUAGACAUUGCUUUAAAACUCAACAUCUUAUGUAGAGAAGUCAGUAUUCUUAAAAAAGCCUACUAAUAUGUUAAAUGAAAACAGUCAAAACUUUAUGCAAAACAUUAUUUAUCAUUUUGUUUAUGCCUGAUGUUUUUAUGAACACAAAAAACAAAUCAAUUUUCAAGACUUGGGACAAGUUUUACAGAUUUUGAGAUGGUCCUGUUAAAGCAAGCCAGCUUUUUUCAGAAAGUUCAAUUACAGUAUUAAAACUGAACCCUCCUUUGCUUUCUUUCAUUUUAGGAUGGUAUUACUAAUCCAACGACUCGGCAGUUAGAGACUUCACAGCCGAAUGCAUCAAAGGUUUUACGCAAGGUGCAAUCAAACAGUCUAAGAGCAGCAAUGAGAAAGUCCUCUUUACAUCAAAGGAAUAAUUUCCCGCAUUAACCUCUACUGCGUUCAUCCUUGCAAGUUUAAAAGACUUGGUUCGUUAUUCGUUCCUCUCCUCAUCACACUUUUUAAUCUCUGAGCACUUUUUUUUUUUGGCAGCCUAAAGUUAUUCUUCUCAAAGACAUGUAAGGAGCAAAGUCACAGAAUUUAACCGCCCCAGUCCUUUAAAAACUGAACUGCUUCUCUGUGGUGGCAUUUGAUUCUAAUUGCCUGGUUGGCCCAUGAUAAGGAAUUUACAAUUGUGUAAUUGGUAG
rnacentral:lncRNA from 1 species